UCUAAUGUGCGUUGGGUUAUUUAUUUUUUUUCCUGUGAUUUGUUUAUUGAGUGAGCCCCACCAUUUGAUGAUGCAUUGAUUUUGGGCGCGAUGUUAUUGAUCUCGGAUGGAAAACAUAAUUGGUUUCCAAUAGGAAAAGCGCCGCACAAAUUUCGAGUGAAAACCGAUCGGCGUAAAAAAAAACAACAAAUACCACCACAAAGUGGCGAAGCAACAACAAAUAAAGAAACAUAAAUAAUAGUGGGCAAAAAGUAAAAAAACAUCAAGCAAACAAACAAAACAGCAAAAUAAAAAACAACGAGGAGCGUAAAUAAAAGGUCGGCAGAUGGGCGGCCAACGGACUUACGUGCCCUCCGCUGGCCAUUCUCCCCAUGUUGCAAGUUGCAGUUGUUGUUGUUGCACAUGCAGUUGCAGUUCCCAUUCCCGUUGUUGUUGCAGUUGCAGCAUACCAGCGGCCAAAGCGCAGUGAGAGCGAGCGGGACGGCAAGCGAGCGCCACUAAAGGUGCGAGCGAGAGCCCUCUGAAAUGGUCUCGAAGAAGCGCUCCAAUGCCGCUGACCGAGUGCAGCGCUCGACGGCGACUGCGGCAGCGGCGGCGGCAG